rnacentral:misc_RNA from 1 species
AUUUUGUGUGAAAACAAUUAUUUAUUAUUUGGGAUUCAUGCUUUUGGGUGUAUGACCAGUCAAAUAAGAUGAGAUGGAAGCUGUUGAUAGAAUUUGCCGUGAUUUCGUAACAGACCAAUUAUAUUUUAUUAUUAUUAUUAAUUGUAAUCAGGUAAUCUGUUAUUAUGGCUUUUGGUCAAAUAUAUUAAUUAUUACAAUCAGUAUUUCUGUUGACUACCGAUUGCAAAUUGAUUGGCAAUGUUUGG